AAAUUGAAGAGUUUGAUCAUGGCUCAGAUUGAACGCUGGCGGCAGGCCUAACACAUGCAAGUCGAACGGUAACAGGAAACAGCUUGCUGUUUCGCUGACGAGUGGCGGACGGGUGAGUAAUGUCUGGGAAACUGCCUGAUGGAGGGGGAUAACUACUGGAAACGGUAGCUAAUACCGCAUAACGUCGCAAGACCAAAGAGGGGGACCUUCGGGCCUCUUGCCAUCGGAUGUGCCCAGAUGGGAUUAGCUAGUAGGUGGGGUAACGGCUCACCUAGGCGACGAUCCCUAGCUGGUCUGAGAGGAUGACCAGCCACACUGGAACUGAGACACGGUCCAGACUCCUACGGGAGGCAGCAGUGGGGAAUAUUGCACAAUGGGCGCAAGCCUGAUGCAGCCAUGCCGCGUGUAUGAAGAAGGCCUUCGGGUUGUAAAGUACUUUCAGCGGGGAGGAAGGGAGUAAAGUUAAUACCUUUGCUCAUUGACGUUACCCGCAGAAGAAGCACCGGCUAACUCCGUGCCAGCAGCCGCGGUAAUACGGAGGGUGCAAGCGUUAAUCGGAAUUACUGGGCGUAAAGCGCACGCAGGCGGUUUGUUAAGUCAGAUGUGAAAUCCCCGGGCUCAACCUGGGAACUGCAUCUGAUACUGGCAAGCUUGAGUCUCGUAGAGGGGGGUAGAAUUCCAGGUGUAGCGGUGAAAUGCGUAGAGAUCUGGAGGAAUACCGGUGGCGAAGGCGGCCCCCUGGACGAAGACUGACGCUCAGGUGCGAAAGCGUGGGGAGCAAACAGGAUUAGAUACCCUGGUAGUCCACGCCGUAAACGAUGUCGACUUGGAGGUUGUGCCCUUGAGGCGUGGCUUCCGGAGCUAACGCGUUAAGUCGACCGCCUGGGGAGUACGGCCGCAAGGUUAAAACUCAAAUGAAUUGACGGGGGCCCGCACAAGCGGUGGAGCAUGUGGUUUAAUUCGAUGCAACGCGAAGAACCUUACCUGGUCUUGACAUCCACGGAAGUUUUCAGAGAUGAGAAUGUGCCUUCGGGAACCGUGAGACAGGUGCUGCAUGGCUGUCGUCAGCUCGUGUUGUGAAAUGUUGGGUUAAGUCCCGCAACGAGCGCAACCCUUAUCCUUUGUUGCCAGCGGUCCGGCCGGGAACUCAAAGGAGACUGCCAGUGAUAAACUGGAGGAAGGUGGGGAUGACGUCAAGUCAUCAUGGCCCUUACGACCAGGGCUACACACGUGCUACAAUGGCGCAUACAAAGAGAAGCGACCUCGCGAGAGCAAGCGGACCUCAUAAAGUGCGUCGUAGUCCGGAUUGGAGUCUGCAACUCGACUCCAUGAAGUCGGAAUCGCUAGUAAUCGUGGAUCAGAAUGCCACGGUGAAUACGUUCCCGGGCCUUGUACACACCGCCCGUCACACCAUGGGAGUGGGUUGCAAAAGAAGUAGGUAGCUUAACCUUCGGGAGGGCGCUUACCACUUUGUGAUUCAUGACUGGGGUGAAGUCGUAACAAGGCAACCGUAGGGGAACCUGCGGUUGGAUCACCUCCUUACCUUAAAGAAGC
rnacentral:rRNA from 1 species